rnacentral:rRNA from 1 species
GACAGCCAGGAUGUUGGCUUAGAAGCAGCCAUCAUUUAAAGAAAGCGUAAUAGCUCACUGGUCGAGUCGGCCUGCGCGGAAGAUGUAACGGGGCUAAACCAUGCACCGAAGCUGCGGCAGCGACACUGUGUGUUGUUGGGUAGGGGAGCGUUCUGUAAGCCUGUGAAGGUGUACUGUGAGGUAUGCUGGAGGUAUCAGAAGUGCGAAUGCUGACAUAAGUAACGAUAAAGCGGGUGAAAAGCCCGCUCGCCGGAAGACCAAGGGUUCCUGUCCAACGUUAAUCGGGGCAGGGUGAGUCGACCCCUAAGGCGAGGCCGAAAGGCGUAGUCGAUGGGAAACAGGUUAAUAUUCCUGUACUUGGUGUUACUGCGAAGGGGGGACGGAGAAGGCUAUGUUGGCCGGGCGACGGUUGUCCCGGUUUAAGCGUGUAGGCUGGUUUUCCAGGCAAAUCCGGAAAAUCAAGGCUGAGGCGUGAUGACGAGGCACUACGGUGCUGAAGCAACAAAUGCCCUGCUUCCAGGAAAAGCCUCUAAGCAUCAGGUAACAUCAAAUCGUACCCCAAACCGACACAGGUGGUCAGGUAGAGAAUACCAAGGCGCUUGAGAGAACUCGGGUGAAGGAACUAGGCAAAAUGGUGCCGUAACUUCGGGAGAAGGCACGCUGAUAUGUAGGUGA